GUCAUUGCUCGUGUCAGAAACAAACGUGAGCCAGUCAAUGCGGCCGAUGACUGCCAAGAAACAGAAAUAGAUAAAUAGCUGUUAGCACUGCAACAACACGGCAGGUGAAAACAUUCCUUCACUCGGCUCGCUCCUCAUCUUCAUUCCUCCUCCUCCUCCUCUUUGUGGGGGAUAAGACUGGCCUUGAGUGCUCAUUCCCAAGACACAACUUUUCACAUGCAGUGCGAAGCCACUUCUAAGAUAUGAAUCCAUGGCGAAAAGUUUUCUCCCACUUGAGGACUAGAGGAAAAAUAAUGGAAAGCAAAAUAAACAGAGGAGGCGAGUCAGUGCCCUGCUACUACCACCACUGCCGUCGCUCACUGGGCAGCCUGCCCACCUACCAACCCACCGCCUUUCAUGCACCAGGAGCCCUUCCUUGGACCCCUGCACCCCCAUCUCUUCUCUGUUCUCACUUCUCACCUUCCAUCUAACGCAGACACACACUAGUUCUAAUUGUGUAUGUAAAAAAAAAAAAAAAACAUGUAUAAUAGCAUAUUUGUCGUUGUACUUUUUUAUGAUACACUAUUUGUUUAAAAUUAAUGCAAGUGAUUACUGCAACACAUUCUUACAUUGUCUUUAUUUAUUCUUUUUUAGCUGCUGAGAAAGAAAAAUUGAUAUUCAGAAAAAAAAUACACUGAACACAGACUCAGCUAGUUGACAUUUGCUCCUGUGUUAGUUAUGAAUUAGUUAUCAAUGCCACUCCUAUGCAUAUUUGUUGUUGUUAUAAAUGGGUAGCCAGCAUUCUUUUUUAUUUAUUGGCUGGUGACUUUUUCUAAAUAAAAAAA